rnacentral:rRNA from 1 species
AAUGUAAUUCUUACAAUGUUAAUUCAUUGGAUCCAAUUAGAACUAUGCAGUUAAGUCUGCUUGGGCUAGAGUAGUACUGGGAUGGGUGAACUUUAGGGAAUUCCUAGUGUUUUAAAUG